GUGCUCGCUUUGGCAGCACAUACACUAAAAAAACUGCAAUGAUACAGAGAAGAUUAGCAUGGCCUCUGCACAAGGAAGACAUACGAAUUCAUGAAGCACUCCAUAAUUUA